CCACUCCAGCUCAGAGUGCAGCCAGCUUUGUGAAGUCAGGAAGAGGAGCUCCUUUCUUCUCUGUGAUCCUUGAACCACCAGCCACAAAAAAAAGCCCAGUGAAGCAGUUCCUGCUGAGGAACCAGAAACCUGCAAGUCCAACCAGCCAAACUCCAAGACAUCUGUGAAUUGGUACAAAGAUCUGAAGCAGAGAGGUGCGUGGAUUCUCCCACUCUGCUGCAGAACAAACUUCUCUUCUCAGCCAAUUUGCCCAGUUCCUGGAGGGGAAGAUGUGGAGCCCAGCUGGGUGCAAAUGAACCAGAGGAAGUGGCCUAAGGAAAGUGAAAUGGAAAGCAAGUCUGUUGCACCAGAGCUGUCGGCCAUGCUGUUCCAGUUCAGGGGCUCCUGCAACAGAAAAGAUCAGCUGUUGGAGAACCCAUGGAAAGCCCUGGGGGAGAGCCAUGGCCGCAAGGGCUUGCUACAGUGAGAUCGGACAGCUUGGAUCUCUAAUCAGAUAGGAAGGCGCAGACACCUUGUGGUGCAUACAUAAAGAUGUGUAUUCUAGACUAGAUCACUUCACCUCCGUGUUGCACUUCAACCUAACCCACCAAGCCAUCCUCUCUCCUUCGAAAUAUCAGAAGGAAGGUGGGGACAAUCCUGCUUUUGUUGGUGAAAGAGGACCAGGCGAUUCAAGGCACAGCUCUAGCAGAUGGUUUUGGUGAUGUAAAGCACAAGAGGAUCACUCCCAGGAGCUGCUGAGGCGGUGAAGUCAGAAAUGAAGCGAUGCAUGCAGGAUGCCACAGCCCCUGUCCCGGCCCAUUCCAGAAGCUUACUUCCACACCAGCAGCCUGGACUGUCCUCACACAGCCAUUUUAUACCCAGAAUUAUCUCUGCAGCUGAUCCAAAACCUACUGGAAUGGAUGCUCGGCCCUUUCCCGAGAUGGUUUGACUCUGAACAGAGAUAGUGUGAAGUUCAGAGGCUCAUGCAGUGGGCGAAAUCUGAACCAGCAACCCCUUGGCUGAUGCUGCACUGCCCAGCACCACCCAUUCCGAGAGCUGCCCCAGCUGCUGGCCAAUGGUGUCAGUGUCGAUUUGGGAAGCAGAGUGGUGGCACCAGCGACAGCGAUGCGGCCCCGGGCUGAAGUUUGUGUGAUGCUUUGUUACUUCGCUUGCUGAUCCGUGCUGGUCACGUUUACUCCAAGCAAACUGGGCUCUGAAGGAAUCCCGGCUGCAGUUCGAGUUGCGUGUUGACAGUCUGUGUGAUCACCGUACCUCGCUGCAAGAUAAGCCUUUGUAUUCAGCCGGGCAUCGGGGCCAAAGGCAGGCAAAGAGGCGACUGGUGGAAAAACAAGGCAGAGAGACGAUGGAUUAGAAGCAGGGAGAGGGAUGCACAAAACCGCUGCGGGGCAGCCACGCUUGCUCCUGUCAACACUGCGUGUGCAAGCCGUGUGUGUAUGCUCCUCUCGGGGUGGGAGCUGAAAAUGCAGGGCCAGAUUUCAUGUCUCUGUGUGCUGGUGCCUUUUAUACAUGAGCAGUUUCCAGUGGCAAGUUAGAGGGAGCUGCUGGAUCAGGCGCUGGAAGGCAGCAGGGGAGGUUUCUGCAGCGCAAAGCACUUCCCUGCCUUUGCUCAUGCGUUGCUUCUGUCACCGAAAGGAAAAUCAGAGGCUGAUGCCAGUUAUUAAAUAUCUUCAUUAUGAGGGCAUUCCUUCCAGCUGACUUUCAAUUUUGUUGUAUCUAGGGGCCCAGUGUUAAUAACUGCAUGCUAAGGACAAGUGUUCUUAAAAAACACUGACUCUUUCAAUUCUUACCAAUCAUAUGCAGCUUCCAGCUCCUGACUGAUAGAUAUAUUGUUCAGCCAAGCCACCAGAAAGGCAAUAAAUAUAUGUACUGUUAUGGGUCAUGAGUCUAAAAAUUAAAUCAAAUGCAGAAAUUGAGUCUUGACAGAAUCUGAAGGGAUAAUGUCUUAGCUUCUCCAAUUACGCAGUUCAACAUUUGGAUAAAUCAUAUGAAAGUAAGUAUUUAGCCCCAUUUUUCAUAAUCACUAUUAAUGAGAACAAAAUGGGAGCUGAGGGCAGAGGGAGAGAGUUCUGACAAGAUAAAUAGCAUAUGGGGUGUGUUGUCAGCCACAGAAAAUCAAGGCUGUUUAAACCCCCCUAAACAGAGCGAAGGAAAAAAUGCAGUGAGGGAGAAAAAUCAUGGAGAAUGGUGGUUCUGUGUGUUCCUAAGCAGUAGCUCUCUCUGGGGCCAGGCUUUUGGGAUCUGCCUUCCCAAAUACCACUUAGGGCACAGAAGACCCCACCUGGAAUACUGCAUCCAGUUCUGGAGCCCCUGGGACAAGAAGGAUGUGGAGAUGCUGGAGUGUGCCCAGAGCAGGGCCAGGAGGAUGCUGAGAGGCUGCAGCAGCUCUGCUGUGAGCACAGACUGAAAGAGUUGGGGCUGUGCAGGCUGGAGAAGAGGAGGCAGCCAGGGGACCUUCUUGUGGCCUUCCAGGAUUUGAAGUGGGCUACAAAAAAGCUGGGGAGGGACUUUUUAGGCUCUCAGGGACUGACAGGACUGGGGGGAAUGGAGCAAAGCUGGAGGUGGGGGAGAGUCAGAGUGGCUAUGAGGAGGAAGUUGUUGAGCAGGAGAGUGGUGAGAGGCUGGAAUGGGUCACCCAGGGAGGUGGUUGAGGCCCCAUGGCUGGAGGUGUUUAAGGCCAGGCUGAAUGAGGCUGUGGGCAGCCUGCUCUAGGGUAGGGUGUCCCUGGGCAUGGCAGGGGGGUUGGAACUGGUUGCUCCUUGUGGUCCCUUCCAACCCUGACCGAUUCUAUGAUUGUGUCAUCUAGAGCUCCCUGGAUGGUAUGAGUGAGCGAGAGCCAGAGUGCACAACUUAGAUCCUGCCCUUGUUCACUCUGUAAGCAGCACUUAAAAGGUUGCUUAAAAUCUUUGUUGAAACUCAAUAAAUAAAAUAAAAAGCAAA